GAUAUAUACAGGGGUACCGGUACAGAGUCAAUGUGGAGGCUAUAUACAGGGGGUACCGGUACAGAGUCAAUGUGGAGGCUAUAUACAGGGGGUACCGGUACAGAGUCAAUGUGGAGGAUAUAUACAGGGGGUACCGGUACAGAGUCAAUGUGGAGGAUAUAUACAGGGGGUACCGGUACAGAGUCAAUGUGGAGACUAUAUACAGGGGGUACCGGUACAGAGUCAAUGUGGAGGAUAUAUACAGGGAGUACUGGUACAGAGUCAAUGUGGAGGAUAUAUACAGGGGGUACCGGUACAGAGUCAAUGUGGAGACUAUAUACAGGGGGUACCGGUACAGAGUCAAUGUGGAGGAUAUAUACAGGGAGUACUGGUACAGAGUCAAUGUGGAGGAUAUAUACAGGGGGUACCGGUACAGAGUCAAUGUGGAGGAUAUAUACAGGGGGUACCGGUACAGAGUCAAUGUGGAGGAUAUAUACAGGGGGUACUGGUACAGAGUCAAUGUGGAGGAUAUAUACAGGGGGUACCGGUACAGAGUCAAUGUGGAGG
ensembl:lncRNA